rnacentral:rRNA from 1 species
GACGAACGCUGGCGGCGUGCCUAAUACAUGCAAUCCGAACGCAGUGGGGACGGGUGAGUACCACGUGGGUAACCUCCCAUCAGAGGUGAUAACACUUGGAAACAGGUGCUAAACCGAUACUGAUGGAUGGACCCCCGGUGCAUUAGCUAGUUGGGGAGUGAACGGCUCACCAAGGCCAAGAGGAAUAGCCGACAGGAGAGGGGGAACGGCAACACGGGAAAUGAGACAAAGACCAGACUCCUGCGGGAGGCAGAAGUAGUGAAUCUACGGCAAUGGACGAAAGUCGGACCGAGGAACGACGCGUGAGUGAAGAAGGUUUUAGGAGCGUAAAAAGCUGUUGUUAGAGAAGCGGUAUCUAACCAGAUAGCCACGGCUAACUACGUGACAGCAGCGGCGGUAAUAC